rfam:Ictidomys tridecemlineatus contig037267, whole genome shotgun sequence.
AUCUUUUUGUGGUUCAUAAGGGUGGUGACUGGGUUUUCACAACACUGUAUGAGAUGUGCCUCCAUCAAAUCUUGUUACAUCAGCACAUUACCCAUCUGUUU